UUUGAAGUGGGAAUGUGUUGGGAAGAGGAAGAUGAUGGAGGUUUAUGGUGAAGGAGAGGGAAAAGUGGAAGCUGAGGGUUUUUCAGGAACGAAUCCCAGGAGGCGAAAAGAUUUUCCGUUCCUUUUUUUUUUGUUUUUUUCGUUGAGAGAGAAAGUGAGGUUUUAUGAGUGGUGAGAGAAUCUUGUGAGUGAGGGAAAGAUCCGUUGGGGAUUGUGGUGAGAGAAAAGAGAGGGAAUCACGUGAGGAAUGAGCUGUCAGGUUGCUAUGAGUGGAUACCAACUGGUAUUAUUUUUUUAAAAGGAUCCAAUGUAUAACCUAUAUUAUUCAUCUUUUGAAAUUUAGAAAUUAUAGAGUUUUUAACAAUUAAAAAAAAUAAGAAUCAAUUCAUCAAAAUAAAUUCAAACUAAUUAUGUAAUUAAUUCUAAUUUAUUCCAAUGAUAUCUUGAUUAAGAAAAUAACAAUAAACAGACCGAAAAGGAAUAAAAGUCGGGCACAAAUAUUCUCGAAAAAUUAAAUUGGACACAUUAAAAUGAUCAGCACAAAAUAUACUUAUUGAAAAAAUACAGCGUUUCUUCAAAUUCU
rnacentral:lncRNA from 1 species